rnacentral:rRNA from 1 species
UACGUAGGGGGCAAGCGUUGUCCGGAUUUACUGGGCGUAAAGCGCGUGUAGGCGGCCACGCAGGUCCGUUGUGAAAACUGGAGGCUCAACUUCCAGACGUCGACAGAAACCGCUUGGCUAGAGUCCGGAAGAGGAGAGUGGAAUUCCUGGUGUAGCGGUGAAAUGCGCAGAUAUCAGGAAGAACACCCGUGGCGAAGGCGGCUCUCUGGGACGGUACUGACGCUGAGACGCGAAAGCGUGGGGAGCGAACAGG